rnacentral:rRNA from 1 species
UGCAAGUCGAGCGAAUGAUGAGAAGCUUGCUCUUCUGAUUAGCGGCGGACGGGUGAGUAACACGUGGGCAACCUACCCUAUAGAUUGGGAUAACACAGGGAAACCUGUGCUAAUACCGAAUAAUACAUUUUCUUUCAUGAGAAGAUGUUGAAAGAUGGUUUCGGCUAUCACUAUAGGAUGGGCCCGCGGCGCAUUAGCUAGUUGGUGAGGUAAUGGCUCACCAAGGCAACGAUGCGUAGCCGACCUGAGAGGGUGAUCGGCCACACUGGGACUGAGACACGGCCCAGACUCCUACGGGAGGCAGCAGUAGGGAAUCUUCCACAAUGGGCGAAAGCCUGAUGGAGCAAUGCCGCCGUGAGUGAUGAAGGAUUUCGGUUCGUAAAACUCUGUUGUAAGGGAAGAACAAGUAGCGUAGUAACUGGCGUUACCUUGACGGUACCUUAUUAGAAAGCCACGGCUAACUACGUGCCAGCCGCUGC